rnacentral:rRNA from 1 species
CCUACGGGAGGCAGCAGUGAGGAAUAUUGGUCAAUGGGCGCGAGCCUGAACCAGCCAAGUCGCGUGAAGGAUGACGGCUCUAUGGGUUGUAAACUUCUUUUGUAAGGGAGUAAAGUGCGGUACGUGUGUCUUUUUGUAAGUACUUUAUGAAUAAGGAUCGGCUAACUCCGUGCCAGCAGCCGCGGUAAUACGGAGGAUCCGAGCGUUAUCCGGAUUUAUUGGGUUUAAAGGGUGCGUAGGUGGGUUGUUAAGUCAGUGGUGAAAUUUUGGGGCUCAACCCCAAAAUUGCAUUUGAUACUGUCAGUCUUGAGUACAGUUGAGGUAGGCGGAAUGUGUGGUGUAGCGGUGAAAUGCUUAGAUAUCACGAAGAACACCGAUUGCGAAGGCAGCUUACUAAACUGCAACUGACAUUGAGGCACGAAAGCGUGGGUAUCAAACAGGAUUAGAUACCCUGGUAGUC